GAACGGNUGANUAACGCGUGAGGAACCUGCCUCAAAGAGGGGGACAACANUUGGAAACGACUGCUAAUACCGCAUAAGCCCACGGCUCGGCAUCGAGCAGAGGGAAAAGGAGUGAUCCGCUUUGAGAUGGCCUCGCGUCCGAUUAGCUAGUUGGUGAGGUAAUGGCCCACCAAGGCGACGAUCGGUAGCCGGACUGAGAGGUUGAACGGCCACAUUGGGACUGAGACACGGCCCAGACUCCUACGGGAGGCAGCAGUGGGGAAUAUUGCACAAUGGGGGAAACCCUGAUGCAGCGACGCCGCGUGGAGGAAGAAGGUCUUCGGAUUGUAAACUCCUGUUGUUGAGGAAGAUAAUGACGGUACUCAACAAGGAAGUGACGGCUAACUACGUGCCAGCAGCCGCGGUAAAACGUAGGCCACAAGCGUUGUCCGGAAUUACUGGGUGUAAAGGGAGCGCAGGCGGGAGAACAAGUUGGAAGUGAAAUCCAUGGGCUCAACCCAUGAACUGCUUUCAAAACUGUUUUUCUUGAGUAGUGCAGAGGUAGGCGGAAUUCCCGGUGUAGCGGUGGAAUGCGUAGAUAUCGGGAGGAACACCAGUGGCGAAGGCGGCCUACUGGGCACCAACUGACGCUGAGGCUCGAAAGUGUGGGUAGCAAACAGGAUUAGAUACCCUGGUAGUCCACACCGUAAACGAUGAUUACUAGGUGU
rnacentral:rRNA from 1 species